UCUGUGCAUAUGCCUACCAUGUUUUUCAAGCUGCCAAGCUGGGAUUGGAACCCUGGUUUUGAGAGAUACGAUGGGAACUUUCAGGGCAAGCUAUUUGGAAGUCGGAAGUGAAUGAAGCCAAAUAACCAAACCAGCGAGGGCACAAGAGCGUGAGCAAAUUCUCCGCAGACUCUACAUAGCCCUCAGCGUUUGGGAAGGAGCGCCACCUAGUGGCUCCUUAAGGGACACCACUAACCAUGCCAGAUGGAAAAAGAAGUUCUCCUGGUCAGUCACAACCUAGCAGCUACUGGACUUGGCAAGCAGACUGAUACUAUUGCAGAAAAAGUAUUCAAUGCAGUUGUUAAAGCAAGGAAAGAAAGACCUUACACAGGCCCAUCACCACAGGUAUGGACGAUGACCACUGCAAUAGGCUCAUGCAGUGGGGACGGAGACUGGCUUACCCACGAAUACAGCAUGGCCAAGUGGGAGUUGUAGCCCAGGUGCUGGGGGUGCAGGGGCCAUGAGUGGAAGGCUACUAAGAGGAAACAUCAGGGGUAGGGGCGAUUCAGGCUAAACUGAUAACAGGGUUCUUCCUAGACACAGGAAGCUCUUUUGCUCAAACUGGAUUUUGCAAGGUGUUAGGGUGAUCUUUGUUGUGGUCUGUGAAAAAAAUCCCCAAAGUCAGGGAGAAAUUGGAUAGAAAAGGCAUUUUCACUCUCUAGGAGAGUUGUAUCAGCCCUGAAGGGUGGAGCCAAGAAGCUUUUAUUGGGACUUAGGGAAGCAGGGCUGUCGUUGGGUAAUCAGGGCCAUCCCAGGACAGGGCAUUUGCUGGCCCUUGGGUUGCUUCAUCGUUAUCGCUGGAUGCCGUAUCUGGCUGCUGCAGUUUGCCAUGUGUUCUGUCCUUGGUUUUGGUGCCAAGGGUUGAUGGAUAUGUUGUAAAAUCUACGUCUGAAGACAAGAACUUAGAAAAUACAAGUACGGCCAUCUGCAAUGAAGUCCAGAAAGGGCCAACGAACUAACUUGGGAAGAAAAAGGGAGGAGGAGAAGGAAUGUGUGAA